rnacentral:lncRNA from 1 species
AUCCUCACGUCACUCUCUCUCUCCCUUGAUUUUUUUUUCUCCAGCCGCAGCCCUGAUUUUCUUUCUUUUGCCGUGCGUGUGGCUUAGCUCAUGGAGGAAAAAUCCUGCCGCCCCUGCUCAGAUUUUUCACCGCCGCACGCGCUGCUUCCUUAUCUUCUUCUCCUGGCCGCAGCUCCCUUAUCUCCUCCGUGUCAGCUCGCUCGGCCUCCAGCGCUGCCCGCUGCCAUCUGUUGUAGCGUCACACCGCUGCUGUGGAGGGACCGAGGGAGCAGAGCACCGGAGUAGCCACCGCCGCUGGGGGAGUUCCAAUCGCCUGGAGUAGCCGUACAGACAAGCAACGAUGGCGUGCAGCAGCGCGUGGUGGAGGCCCUCCGACCUCCGAUUUGACCGUCGCUCCAAGCCCUCUGCACACCGGCGCGCCCCUCUGGCUCGGUUUUGCCCAGCGCUGUGCAUCCUCCUCUGCGCAGACUGCUCAUCUCCCUCCUCUGCUCGGCGCGUCCCUGGCUCUAGCUCGGCCUGUGUGCCCCUAAGCUCUCCCAUGGUGCUAGGCGUUUCUCCUUGACGCGCGUUCCGCCUUGCCGUCUCCCUGCGCGCCGUGGUAUCCCGGCUUUUCCUAGCUCGGACCGCGUUCAGUCCCCAGCUCGCCGUGCCCGGUCGAGCUCUCUGCGCACACGCCGCGCACAGCCGUGUCCCUAUGCUCGCUGUGGCCGCUUUUCUGCGUCGUGCCCGGGAUUUUGCCGCGCGUCCUUGCUUGCUGUCUGUCCACGCGUCGCGCGUAGAGCAAUGAAACAAAAAUCCGUGCGCGUCGGGCUCGCGCGCCGAAUCUUUUUCUAACUCACCAGCGUGCCCUCUCGGCUCGCUCGGCUUUAAAAUCCCUAUCUCGUCGUCAACCUCGCCGCGACUUAGUUCGUCGUCGCUCCGUUCGCCGUCGAGUCUCGCUACCGAUCGCGAAGUCAUCUGCUAUCAGCCUCCGCACAUGUCCUAAGCUGUCGUAGCCAGUUUGCCUCCAUCUCGUGGUGGUGUUACGCUGCCGUCGAGUCCCGAUAUCGAUCUGGUUGUCGUCGAAGUGAAGCUCAGUUUAACGCUCGCCAAGGGUUCGAUCAAAGAUUUUAUUCGGAGACUGUCGACGUUCUCGCAAGCUUUAAGUCAGAGUUAAUGGACGGUAAGUGGAUUCGUUAUUCCAGUCGACUAAAUAUAAUAUUUAUUAGACUACUUGAAUCGUGUACGGUGAUUUAAUCGGUAGUCAUACAUGUUGUCGAUCCCUUGUGUUAUAAUAGUUAUUACGUUCUAGGUAGUUUGCUUGGGUUAUUAGUUUCGAGUAAAUUAAUAUUAGUACGGUAUUUAACAUGUAAUUGACGAAAAACUUGGAUUCAUAUUCAUUAAUCAAAGUAGUAAAUCUAAGCUAAAUUUAUUAUUGGCGCGCAAGUUGUUAGCCGAAUUGUUAGGUAGAUUAAAUAAAUAGGUGUGAUGCGAAAUAAAAAUUAAAUUAGUUCUUGGUAAGCAAAGUGAUAUAAUUUAUAAAGCGAGAGAUAAGUUUAGCAUUUAAUUAACUAGCUGAUGAGUUAUGUUUAGGCUAAUUAUGUUUCAAGUGUAUAAUUUGUUUGCAAUGUUUGUGUUAGCUUCGUUUAAUUUAGAAAAGCGUAAUUAUUGCGCGUAGUCGUAUAUUAAUAACUAGUGUUUCCGUGUAAGAUUAUACAAUGCCUCGCCCUUAGGUGUUUAAUACGCUAUCGUAUAGCACUAUUUAGAUUUGCGCUAUUCUUGUUUAUAUGCAUUCAUGUGCAUAAUGCAUUUCAUUCAGGUACAUUAAUUAAUCGCGUGAUGCGGAAGACAACCCAAGUCGACCCCAAGCGCGGGCUACUCCGCAGGAUGAUGCUGAUGAACAUGCCUGAAGAUACUCGUCAAGUGGUCGUCGUCUAACAACACUAACCUAGUGUUACUCAGGCAAGCCCCGGUGCAUGCAACCCCUUCCUUGUGUUUUUAAAUACUUUUCGCACACUUUAAGUCUAGUGAAAUGUGCAUUAGGUUUAUAGGAGUUGCUUGAAACCCUUUGAUGCAUUGCCUUCCUUGAUAUCCAUACCUGUUAUAGAUACUUCUUUGGAAGUAUCAAAAUUUGAUUUACAAAAAUGCUUAGCCCUGCUUAGAUCUUGUGGAUAGAGGUUGUCUUUUGCGUUAAGGCCUUGCUCAGGGGUUAUCCUGAGGAAAGAUGACUUCCACCUGCAAGGUUAUAUUUUCAUUAGGAGCAUGGUGGGAUCUUACUGCAAAGUUCCCUAUGAUGCUCUUUUCAUCCUAAGGAAAACAAACAAUCCUAAGGGUGGAAAUACUUAAAUCGGGACUUGGGUUAGGAACGGGUGAUGUUCUACCCAGGUUGAUUAAGGAUUGAACGUGUAUGUAGGUGUGCUGACCGCGGACCCUUUAACUGGUCACAUGCCUCGUCAUGGGUAAGCCUUGCCUCGGGCAGACUAAGGCCAGAAUAAGAUAACACGAAAUGGGCGUGGAGCGGUGGCGAGAGUAGCGUGUACCCUCCGUGGCAAGAGGCUGGACGGUGGUGUAUCUGUGCUCUUGGUUUGCGUGAACCUGAUCUGGUCUUCAGAACCCCGGUGGCGGGUUGACAUAUGCAAGGGUUAAGUGCUACAUAUGUCGUGUGAUUGGAGAUCCUCAGCUGAGUAUAAUCGAUUCGGAUCGUCGUACCUUCGCGGUUAUGAAGACAUGGUCACUUGUCUACAACCUAAGUCAGGAUGUGAACAUUAUGGAUAAAAAUAAUGUUGUAUUGAUGAGAUGAUGAAAUUAGACUAAAGGCAAACAGAGUAUAUUAAUACUUAAUCUGGCGUUAAAAUAUUGAAAGUAAGGACUCACUUUAGUAAGCUAUUUCUGCAAAAGUAUCUAAGUUGAUUUUUGCUAAAGCCUCUCCUUGAUUCCUAUUUAUCCAGCAUACCCUUGAGAGUCUUUUCCUUAGUCGGGUAAGACUUGCUGAGUAAUUCCAUACUCAGGGUUUUAUUCCCUGUUGUUUUUCAGGUUUUAACUUUGUGCUGUUGUUGAUGGUGUUAAGUGCCGGUGGGCUCGGCCUUCUUAUAAGUCUAAGUACUUCUUCUAUACUUCUUAUUGAGGAUGGUCACUUGAGCUAGCAUAUAUUUCAAACUUAUACUUUUGUAAUCACUCCGAUAAAAUAAUGUAAAUUUUUUUUUAUAACCUGUAAAAUUUGGUAAUAAGAUUUCCGCUGCAAAAAUGUUGUGUGUGUGAUUUGUGUUACUUAAUCCCGCGGUUCUGGUUGUAAGUGGUUUAUCCGAUGUCCUUGGGCAAUCGGACGGAUCCUGUUAAGUUAUCUGGUGCACAUGCAUAGCUGUCUGAGGUCUUUGAGACAAGGACAGGUGCAUGUGGGCCCAAUAACUUGGGAGGUUCUGCCACAGCUGGUAUCGGAGCUGGAUUAAGUAUAUACGGUCACAUACGUAUUUUCAAAAUAAAAGUUUUGGUUUUAGAAAACCUAUUUUCAACUAAAAACAUUGGUUGGCUUUGAAAAACAGUUUUGAAAAACUAUAAUGCUAGAGACAUCCUCUGUUAAGCCCUAAGUUAAGGACUAUCAGGUGGCUUAGUUCAGAACCAUAACCCAUAACCGGGUGGGUAUUGCAUACAUGUGUAUUGUUACUUUUAAGGCCAUUCAGUUUUGAAUGGAUCGACGCUCAAGGUAUGGUGAGAUGUGAGAGCAUGACCGAACAAACGUCGGUCUAGGGAACUGCUUAAUUGUGGCGCUUGAUUAUAUACAUGUUCCACAUAUGUAUAUAUGAAAGCUGCGAUGUGGAGUAUUUACUUUUACGGGAAUUCAGUACCCCAUGGAUGUGUAUGGGUAUACAGACAUGGGACUACUGAGAAGUGUAAUGUACUUGUAACGAUGCACCUACGCUCAGGUAAGAAGGUGAGUUACCAUAAUGAGUUGCCCUAUGGUUAAAGUGUGGCAACAGCGCCUAUGCGUCGCUCGGCGCUUAAUAAUGAGCUAGCCUCCAUAUAGCAAUAUAUGGAGUAUAAACUGUGAUAAACUGUCAUGUGUGAACUGCAUCAUUGGGAAAAUGGGCUGUGAUGAAAUUUUCUGCAGGUACACUAACCUCGAAAACGUAUGUGUAGCUGACAACUAGCAAAUUACCGUGAGAGUCGUAAGUAUGCCACCGAGAUAGAACGCUAUUACCAUAUUAAAUUGGCAAAAAUUCGUGAGGACGUGUAGGACGAGCAUGCAUCCUGAUUGUUGCAUCAUGUUUGUCACCUAUACACCCAAAAUGCUUCUCUCACCUUUAUUCCAAAACUUGGUGAUUAUGAAUGAUGUGGUGUCUUAGGGAUACAGGUUUAGAUUGCCUUUAGCUUUUCAUAAUGUGACCGUUAGUGCAAAUGUGUUUGCCCUUGUGCUUGAUGUGUCGAUAGAAGGUUAGUGACUUGUUUGCCUAAACCGGAAAUUAGGCCAUGUUCUUAGUUGGUGAACCAUGACCCGAAUUUGAAUUCUCCGUUAUCACUCCAUGACCAAACACAUAAAAAUAAAUGCUUAGACAAUUUACUUGUUGGACAUAAAUUGUACCUAGGCUUACAACAAGAAUUUCGAGUCAUGUUUCCUACUAGAACCUUUCCCUUGUUUGAUUUGUGCAAGCUGAUGUCUCUAUUCCAGUUUGCCUAUUCUUGAAGAUCGCCAUGUUGCUUUAUCGACCCAACCUAGGAAAGACAUGUCCCAUUAUUUUCUUGAAGUUUAAUGCCUUUGGUUUCCUCGUAUUUAUUGAAGGCAUACCAAUUUCAUCUUGUGAUUGUUUUUCCCUCCGUAUCUAAUCAGAUACUAAUCCUUGACCUUGUAAUCUCUGCGAUGGGCAUAGAAAUAUGCUUUGGGGCUGAAUUAACAAUCUCCCAUCAUACUCCCUUCAUCAACCAAUUUAGGUUAUGGCCGUGUUUUGUUCAUUUCAUUGGGUCAUAAUCUAUUUGGCUCUCUACUUGUAACCAUUCUUACAGGUGGAGUAUCUCCUUGUAUAUUGUCACCCUUGCCCAAUCCAUUGGUGUCGUGCGAGAUUUCUUAUUGAUUAUGUCUGGUGAUGGUGUUAUGGCUAAAACCGGUGGUGCCGUGACGAAACCGAGGGCCUUCUGUGUGUGCGCACACAUGGUUGUGCUACUCGGCACGCGCUGGUAUCACCGUUAGUAGUCGUAAUCCAUUAUGAGACUAUAUCAAUGUGUUAUCUUAGCACAAUCUGUUUUUGCUACGUGAGGUUCAUUAUUGGUGCCAGUUCCGUGAUGGUGUCAUGAGUAACGACUUAUGGUGCCGCAGCGAAACUGAGAGCCCCUUGUGAAUGUACACGCAAGGUUAUGCUGCUUGGCGCAUGCUGGUAUCGAGGUCUCUAGUCAUGAUCCAUUGUGGAACUACACUAAUAUAUUAUCUUCCGUAGAUUUCUUCCUUGAAACAAUUUCGGUGUUGUUUGUCGAAGCGAUCAAGCAACAUCUGUCAUCUUCGUUGGAUCAAAAGGGCAUACCACUUUCAUGUGUGGUCUCUUUUCCCUUGACUUUGAUAGUGACUGCACGCAUACAAGUUCCCUUUACGUCCUUUGUGUAAAGGUGAAGCCUUGAUGCUUUUUAGUGUUGAGAGACAACUACUUAGUUCUCAAAAUGGAGAUUGACUUUCCCCUGCUGCUGAAAUGCAACAGUUUGUUCAUUCGCUCUCUUAAUUAAUCCAUGUAUUCCCUAACCAAGUCAGUUCAUCUCGCAUGAAGAAACUGAUGAACAACCUGACCAAAUGAAUUUCUACCCAAAUGUAUGACCUUUUGCUAGCAAAUGUGAACUCUCGACCGUUAGCUUACCGAUGGUACUGAGGGAACCUACUCAAUGUCAGAAGUAGUUCAACAAGUUGGUUUUGACUAAUUUGUAACUUCCCAGUGAACGAAGGCUGAGUUUAGAGAUCGUUUUGUCGAGUUAUCUAAACUCACUUUGGUUCAACCCAUCCCAAGAAAGUUCUUACAAAGAUCAAGUUAAAAUCGACUGAUAACUCCUAGUCAUCGUCCUAGUCAUGUCUCGAUCGCCUCACGUGUGCUUUUCCAGCAUGUGUGAUCAAGUCAAGCCAUGAUUAGUGCUGGAUAAAAUGGAUUGGUUGCAAAGUCAACAUCAACGGAUCUCUUCGUUGAUAUUUUCCAAGUCUUUAUCGUUUUUCUGGGACUUAGAUUUUCUAGCCUAACACGGGUCAACUGUGAUGUUAUUCGACAUUCACAUCCGUCUCGUGUGCUAUGAAUUUACCGUGACCACUUGUUGGUAAACCUCCUUUUGUGCGUUUUACCCAAGAGGUUCAAUCUGGUUCUGUUUAGGUAAAAUCGCGUAUUUGCCGCUCGCUCAACAGACUCAGAUAGUACAGUGUCCUCAGAAAAAGCAAACUGCACACAUGGAACCUUAUGUGUUCCUCUGGCAGACAGCGUCUAUAUUGUUGGACAUCUCUAAAUUAGCCUAAGGCGAUAUAUGUUAUGUCCACUAGAGAAACCACAUUCUGAGACACUCGUCUUCGCUUAGGACUGUCUUACGAUUAUCGCUGAUAUGGACAUGGGAUUACCUGUUUCUCCACUCUUGAAAGUCUUUCGCUCCGAAUCUCGGGACGAGAUUCUUUUAAGGGGGGAGGGCUGUAACACCCCAGGUGUUUAUAUUUCGCUCGACAACGAGUACAGAUUUAAGCACGUAAUAUCAGUGAAUGAAACAGAUGUUAAAUUUUAAACAUCUUCGUUCAUCGCGAUUUUAAUAUCGCAUCGGUGUCGUCUGUCGCGAGCGCGACAUCGUUUUUAUUUUUAUCUAUCCGGGCUCUUCCGAAAUUUUCGUGAUAUUCGGGACAUCGUCAAUCCGAAAAUCGGUGCGUCCGGUGAUUAUUUAAAAUUCAUCGCUCACGCGAAUACGAAAUCGUAAGUUCGAUCUAUUCUUACGAUUUUAUCUUGGGCAGAUUAGUUUGAACUCGACGACUAAAAUGUUCUGGGCAAAAUAUAUCGAAUCGCGCGAAAUCUUGCGCAAGGUUAUGAUCCCAUUUGUUCUUUAGCCCACUCUGUACGAUAAUAAAAUCAACUGUGUUUUGAUAUCGGAUAAAUUUUUAUCCGAUUUUGACUAAACCGGUGUCAUCUCAAAUAUUGUAGCUGAUAUCGAGUCCACUUAAACCCAGCCCAAAUCCAAACUCUAGAAAUCGAAUACAUAUAUAUUUAUACACAAACUAUUGGACCGAGAAUAUUCACCAAAUCAAAGGUAGUCUAAAAUAGUGUCGUUGAAAUUAUUUUGAUUCAGUCCAUUUGUCUUAUGAGAUCCAAUUUCAAAAUUCGUAGUUAUCUUUAUACUAUAAAAAAAAGAACUACACAGAAGAACAAAUGAAAGAAGGGGGAAAAUAUCCUCACGUCACUCUCUCUCUCCCUUGAUUUUUUUUCUCCAGCCGCAGCCCUGAUUUUCUUUCUUUUGCCGUGCGUGUGGCUUAGCUCAUGGAGGAAAAAUCCUGACCGCCGCACGCGCUGCUUCCUUAUCUUCUUCUCCUGGCCGCAACUCCCUUAUCUCCUCCGUGUCAGCUCGCUCGGCCUCCAGCGCUGCCCGCUGCCAUCUGCUGUAGCGUCACACCGCUGCUGUGGAGGGACCGAGGGAGCAGAGCACCGGAGUAGCCACCGCCGCUGGGGGAGUUCCAAUCGCCUGGAGUAGCCGUACAGACAAGCAACGAUGGUGUGCAGCAGCGCGUGGUGGAGGCCCUCCGACCUCCGAUUUGACCGUCGCUCCAAGCCCUCUGCACACCGGCGCGCCCCUCUGGCUCGG